CCUUGUACACACCGCCCGUCACACCAUGGGAGUUGGUUCGACCUUAAGCCGGUGCGCCAACCUAGCAGUAGGGGGUAGCCGACCACGGUCGGGUCAGCGACUGGGGUG
rnacentral:rRNA from 1 species